rnacentral:rRNA from 1 species
AAUAGAUACCCGGUAGUCCACGCCGUAAACGAUGAGUGCUAAGUGUUGGGGGGUUUCCGCCCCUCAGUGCUGCAGCUAACGCAUUAAGCACUCCGCCUGGGGAGUACGGUCGCAAGACUGAAACUCAAAGGAAUUGACGGGGGCCCGCACAAGCGGUGGAGCAUGUGGUUUAAUUCGAAGCAACGCGAAGAACCUUACCAGGUCUUGACAUCCCGGUGACCACUAUGGAGACAUAGUUUCCCCUUCGGGGGCAACGGUGACAGGUGGUGCAUGGUUGUCGUCAGCUCGUGUCGUGAGAUGUUGGGUUAAGUCCCGCAACGAGCGCAACCCUUAUUCUUAGUUGCCAUCAUUCAGUUGGGCACUCUAAGGAGACUGCCGGUGAUAAACCGGAGGAAGGUGGGGAUGACGUCAAGUCAUCAUGCCCCUUAUGACCUGGGCUACACACGUGCUACAAUGGACGGUACAAACGGUUGCCAACCCGCGAGGGGGAGCUAAUCCGAUAAAACCGUUCUCAGUUCGGAUUGUAGGCUGCAACUCGCCUACA